rnacentral:rRNA from 1 species
GAUUAGUGGCGACGGGUGAGUAACACGUGGGCAAUCUGCCCUUCACUCUGGGACAAGCCCUGGAAACGGGGUCUAAUACCGGAUAACACUCUGUCCCGCAUGGGACGGGGUUAAAAGCUCCGGCGGUGAAGGAUGAGCCCGCGGCCUAUCAGCUUGUUGGUGGGGUGAUGGCCUACCAAGGCGACGACGGGUAGCCGGCCUGAGAGGGCGACCGGCCACACUGGGACUGAGACACGGCCCAGACUCCUACGGGAGGCAGCAGUGGGGAAUAUUGCACAAUGGGCGAAAGCCUGAUGCAGCGACGCCGCGUGAGGGAUGACGGCCUUCGGGUUGUAAACCUCUUUCAGCAGGGAAGAAGCGAAAGUGACGGUACCUGCAGAAGAAGCGCCGGCUAACUACGUGCCAGCAGCCGCGGUAAUACGUAGGGCGCAAGCGUUGUCCGGAAUUAUUGGGCGUAAAGAGCUCGUAGGCGGCUUGUCACGUCGGAUGUGAAAGCCCGGGGCUUAACCCCGGGUCUGCAUUCGAUACGGGCUAGCUAGAGUGUGGUAGGGGAGAUCGGAAUUCCUGGUGUAGCGGUGAAAUGCGCAGAUAUCAGGAGGAACACCGGUGGCGAAGGCGGAUCUCUGGGCCAUUACUGACGCUGAGGAGCGAAAGCGUGGGGAGCGAACAGGAUUAGAUACCCUGGUAGUCCACGCCGUAAACGUUGGGAACUAGGUGUUGGCGACAUUCCACGUCGUCGGUGCCGCAGCUAACGCAUUAAGUUCCCCGCCUGGGGAGUACGGCCGCAAGGCUAAACUCAAAGGAAUUGACGGG